UUAGUGGCGGACGGGUGAGUAACGCGUGGGUAACCUGCCUUACACAGGGGGAUAACACUUAGAAAUAGGUGCUAAAACCGCAUAAGCGCACAGCUUCGCAUGAAGCGGUGUGAAAAACUCCGGUGGUGUAAGAUGGACCCGCGUCUGAUUAGCUUGUUGGCGGGGUAACGGCCCACCAAGGCGACGAUCAGUAGCCGGCCUGAGAGGGCGGACGGCCACAUUGGGACUGAGACACGGCCCAGACUCCUACGGAAGGCAGCAG
rnacentral:rRNA from 1 species